rnacentral:lncRNA from 10 species
GGAACGGAUUUCUCCUCACAGCCCUCAGAAGAAACCAACCCUGUCACCAUUUUGAUCUUGGACUUUAGCCUCUGGAACUGUGAGACAAUACAUUUCUGUUUGUUUCAGCCACCUAGUUCAUAGUACUUUGAAGUGACCUUUACACCACUCUCACUUAGAGAUGAGGUCUGUGUCCCCUCCUCUUGAAAUUGAGUGGCUUUUGUGACUGUGUACACAGGUAGAGUAAACUGCAGAGCUGCCUGUCUGUGACUUCCAAGGCUAGGUCAUAAAAGGAGAUAAAGCUUCUUCCUGGCUGGUUGGGCUGCUUGCUCUUGAAGCCUUCAGUCUCUAUGCACGCAGCAUGCCUUCCCAGCCUCCUGUGGUUGUAGAGUGUAUAGAAGGCAGUUGGAUCACUAUGGACAGCGGGUAAGAGCUGAGGAAGCAGCCUCCGCCAGGUGGUAACAUGGAGGACCCUGAAGCAGGCCAAUUAAAUCAAGCAUAUUCCUCAGUAUCAUGGAGAGACUGGAGGUUAGAGACACCAAAACCAUCCCUGGCUUAAUGACUUUGGGAUCCCUGGGCCCCUCCAUGCAGCAGAACGGCAAUUAACCAAGCAAAGGAAGAGAGGGCAGCAGGGCUGAAUCCUGUCAUGGAAUGCUUCCAUCUGCAAGUGGCACAUUUCAGUGGCCAAAGCAAAUUAUGCCAUCCCUGACUUCAAGACCAUUGGCCAUUCUCUGACCAUCUCAAGCCAGAGGUGACUUGAUCUGUCACCCAGCUGUGGCCCAUGAGCAUUAUCUAAGGAGGAACAUUUUUGCUUACGUUUCCAGUGCUCUACAUAAGCCCUAGGCCCUGGAAAUACUACUUUCAUGGCUCUGGCUAUGAACAUCAGCAUAUAGAGAAUGGAUCACUACCAAAGAAGGCACCCGAAUGUGUCUGUCUCAUCCUGGGGAAACUCAUUCAUCUGUAUAUGUACUCAGCAAGUGUUUCCUGGCACCUGCUCUGGGUCACAGUGCUGGGCACUGGAAGCUGAGAGAUGUGGAAGAAGGCUGGACAUUCAAGAUGAGAAGCCCGAGGCUGGUAAACUAGAGUCCAAGGGCAGAAAGCUGGGACAAUGGCUGGAGGAAGAAAUGAGAGGAUCUCUAUACCCAGGCCUUGGCUUCUAUGUCCCUUCUCGAAGUGGUUGAAGUGCAGAUUUCUGAUUCUGUACCCAGCCUCCAGGGACACAGUACACAGUAUGCUGGGAAUGGCGGUGGGUGUUUGAGGUACAUUACUUCCAGACAAAACAUGGCUGCAGAGGGAUACCAAAAGCAUCUUCUGGUGGCUGAAGCCCUGUCUGCACAAGUGUCUGUGUUCUUCAAUGGUUCAGGCAAGCUCAGACAGACCCUCUGCUUCUCUUAACCUGAGACACUAGUUUCCCCAAGAACUUUGAGCUGAAGGUUCCUUGCUGUGUCCCCUACCUGGCUGUGAGGACUUUGAGUAUAAUUAUCCUAUCUUAUUUGUUGCUGUGCUCCCAGUGUCUUGGAUGGAGCCUGACAUCUAGUCAGUGUUAGUAAAUGUUGAUGUGUAUUGAAUUUUGCAAGGAUCUGCAGCCCUGAGAAGAGGGGAUACUUCUUGGAAACCUCUGUGGGCUAAAUUGAGGGUUAAGGACUGGGACUGGAAGGCAGAGAUUCCAGAGUGAUAACCACAGUAGUUACUAUUUCAUGAGAGCCUCCAUGUGCCAGCCUCUAAGCUAGGCCCAUACCAUGCAUUACCUCUUGUCCCCACUUUACAGAAACUAAGGCUUAGACAAGUUAAGCAACUUGCUAAAGAUCAAACAACUCAAUAUGUGUUGGAGUCAAAUGAACGCAUUUCUUUUCCAUUUCCCUCAUUUACUCCACUAAUGACAGUACUUAAAUUGUAGACUAGGAAUUAAAAUAGCAGAAGCCUGACUUGAGAGGGCAGAGCCCCUGCGUUUGAGUGCCUGAAAGUCAGUCAUGGGUAGAAAGAACAGUCUUGUAGCAGAGCUCUGGGCAAGGGAGGAGCCGUGAGCAGGUGGACAUGAACUCACUGUGACAACUCUCCAACAGUGAAAGCAGGUUCCCAUGGAAUCCAGGGAAAUUACUGAAUAACUUUCAACACAAAAAUGUGUGCUAGUGAGCUGUAGAGCCUUUAUAUCCCCCCAAAACAUAUUAUGGGGGUGGGGGGGGGGCGCGGAAUUCUGAAUUUUUGUUGUUGUUGUUGUUGUUGAGACAGAGUUUUGCUGUUGUUGCCCAGGCUGGAGUGCAAUGGCACAAUCUUGGCUCUCCACAACCUCCGCCUCCUGGAUUCAAGCGAUUCUCCUGCCCCAGCCUCCAGAGUAGGGGCUGGGAUUGUAGACAUGCGCCACCACGCCUGGCUAAUUUUGUAUUUUUAGUAGAGAUAGGGUUUCUGCAUGUUGAUCAGGCUGGUCUCGAACUCCUGACCUCAGGUGAUCCACCCGCCUUGGCCUCCCAAAGUGCUGGGAUUACAGGUGUGUGCCACGGCGCCCGGCCUAAGUAAAUAGUUUGGAAAGCUGCAUCCAAUAGUCUCUUUUGAAGAUUCACAAUGCACCCUAGCUUGUUAACUAUUCCAAGAAGUCCCCGGAAAAGAAUGCUUGUUUGACUUUCUUGAAUCCAGUGUUGCCCAUGUUUAUUUGACUAGUGAGCAGGUUUUUUUGUUUGUUUGUUUGUUUUUUAAGUGACACUUUUUAACACUCUGAGGCAGUAAUAUUGUACUGAACACAUGGGGAAUCUUCUGUGGAAGUUUGGCCUGGAAUACAUCCUCUGUGUUCCUUCUCGCCCCGUGGCUGAGUGAGUGUGCUGUAAAAGCUUAGUGACAGAAAAGCCCCACUUAGCCUAUUUGUGAUGAUUUCCUAAACCGGGCAAAUAACUCAUCUGAAUGGCUGAGGUGAUAAACUCACAGGAGGAGAAGAUGCUGGAGGAAGUGUCAUGUGUCCUGCAUGUAGGUACCACUUCACCUCCCAGCAAGGCGAUGCUGAUAGCAACGUUUUCCUUGGGUGUUGAAUUUUCCAUCCUGCAAUUACGUCUUAAGCCAUAGAUAAAAUUCACAUCCACGUUUCACUCAAGAUAAACCUAACAUCAUAAUAAUACAGAAGAUUAAUUCAUUGGGGAAAAAUAGAAGAAAAUUGGUCUUGGCUUAAAGAGAAGUCAACAUUUAGAAUGUGUAGAAGGGGAUUUCUUCUGGAUCACACUCUGUCCUCAACAGUGGCAUGUGAAAAUGUAUGUGGUUCGCUUUAGUGCAUGCAUGUUUGUGCCUGUCCCACUGACACAUCCACAGUGUGACCCAUAGAGGUCCACUUCUAAGACCCCUAACUCUGAGUCCAACCCACCCUUUUGGGCUCACUGCAGUCAUUUCUCUCUGAAGUCUUCCUUGACAACCUAGGCAUCAUCAGUUUUUCUCUUCUCUGAUCAUCUUAGCAAGUGUAUCCAUAAGCUAUAAUCACAAUCAUGCUGCAUAACAAAACCAAAAACUCAAUGGCCAAUAACAAUGAACAUUUAUUUUUUGUUUUCAUGUCUAGAGGCCAGGUGGGGGGUGGCUGAUCUAAGCUGGGUUUUGCUCUAGGUUAGAUUUAGUCUAGGUUGGCCUCACAUGUCUCUCAUUCUUCAGGUGUCAGGAGGCCACCAUGGGCCUGAUCUUCAGGACAGAUGCCUCUUAAGACUUGGGCUUUGACUCAUACACUGUUACUGCCACCCAUGUCCUGUUGGCCAAAGUCAAUUUCAUUACCAAGCCCAAGAUCUGUGGAGUGGAGAAAUGCAUUUUGAAGGGGAGGGAGUCAAUCUGUAAUGAGCACCAUGAUGUACCAUAGAGCAUUUGUAGUCAUGAGCCUGAUUUAGACACUUGGUGGGGUAUCUCUGUGCUCUUAGGAAUUGUGUCUCUGUGUCUGUCAGAGGUGAUAACAUUGGAGCUGAGCCUUAAAAAAUAAAAGUUUCCUCAAACACCUCUGUGACUUCUGUGAUGCCUUCUGUUCACCACCCACAGUAGCACUGAAGGAAGAAAAGUAGUAACAUGUGAAGUGCAUAGGCAGCCCAGGGAGUCAUGCAUCCUAGUUCUGCAAGGAGGGUGCCCCUAGCCAGCCCUUGAUUGCCUCCCAGUUUUGGAGUUUGUAAGAGUCACAAAUAAUCACACUUCCCUCUCCUCAAAGUUCUGAACCAACUAAAAAUUAUACAUGGGAAUUUGAUGGGGAUGAAAAUAUGGACUUUAUAAGUAAAAAUGAAUUUGAGAACAGCUUGGACCUGAAGCUGAAGGGGUUUCCUUGAUACUUUUCAUCUGGAUCCUGUAGUCCACCUGAGGGUAGUUGUGGGUCUUCAUGGUGGACUUUUAACCAGAUGCAUGAAAAAUUGUGGCCAGGAGAGAGGCCACACCUGAGAGGGAUGUUUACACAUGAGAAACAUAGACCAGUGGGUGUCAGCCUCUUGCCACCUCAACAAUUAUGCCAAUUUCUCCUACACACAAAUGAAGGAGAGAAGAGCUAAGUGUGAAAGGAAAGAUGGAACUCUGUCCUCCCCAUCUAAUCCGGGAUGGAAGCUGUCUGUUGCAGGGACCAGCAUGAGGUGGGGAGGAAGGAUGACCCCGGUGAUCUAGAAAAUGGGACUGAUGCUAUUUAGACGGCUGCCAUCACUGAGUCAGCGGGUGUGGGCUUCUUUAUGCACUUGCUAGAAAUGGGCCAUCAGGCCACUCCUAGUGUGCCCUGGAGCAACUUGUUCUUGUCUGCAAGUCCAGAUGCAGAACACCUAACUCCACUCCACUUCAUCCCCAAAUCCCAACCCGUCUUCACUCAUUUCCGACUGAACCAAGCCACCUGAGUGUCGUGAGUUCACCUGUGUGUUCUUGCCAUCUCCUGGGAUGGAGUCCCCACAGGUCAGAACACUUGAACUCAUUGUGUAGAACCAGAUUCUCUCCCACACUUUUCUCUCUCCUCUCAGAGGCCAAUUUGUUCUGCAGUCAAUUCUGCAGAAGUUAGAAAUAAAGCAUGGUGACCAAUCAGAGAUGAGAGAGGGUGUGGUUGGGCUGAGAGUCACUUUUCAGAGCUUAUGAAAAGCUGCAAACCCGGUGGAUGGCUUACACUCUUUCCUCAAGGGCAACACACUGAGUGAGAGGGUGCUGGAGGGGGAUGCUGGGGAAAGCGAGCUUGUAUUCAAGGAGGCCUGUGGUGUCAUUAUUUACAGUGUCACACCUGAUCCUCCCAACGACCCCAUCUCUAGGCUCUGGAAGUUAGUGGUUAAGAGCACAUCUCUCAGGCUUGUUCACAUACAGUUGUGUGACCUUGGGCAAGUCUCUGUGCCUCAGUUUACUCAUCUGUAGAAUGUUGGUAGAGGAGGAUAUUAAGAGUAACUACCACAUAGUGGUGCUGGGAGGAUAAAAUGAUUUAAUAGAUGUGAUGGGCAGCUGUGGGGAUGGCUCCCAGUGAUCCCUGUCUCCAGGUAUCCAUGCCCUUGCUUGUAAGGAAGAGAAUAUGGCAAAGUUGAUAGGCUGUCUCUUCCAAGAUCAGGUUACAAGAGACUGUGAACUCCCUCUUGCUUACUUUCUCUUACUCUCUUUCUUACUCCAGUGGAAACCAACAGCGUGUUACGAGCUGCCCAGUGGAGAAACCCACACUACAAGAAACUGUGGAUGGCCUCCUCUGGUCAAUAGCCAGCUAGGAAUAAGGCCUUCAUCCAAUAGCCCAUGAGGAACUGAAUCCUGCCAAAAACCACACACGUGAGCUUAGAAGCAGAUCUUUCCCCAGUAGAGCCUUGAAAUGACUGCUGCCCCCACCUGACACCUUAACUGUGGUCUGUGUGAGACUCUGAAACAGGGGGCCCAGCUAAGCCAAGCCCAUAUUCCUGACCCACAGACGCUUUGAGAUAAUAUUGAAUAAAUUCUUGUGGUGUUAAGCCACUGAGUUUUAGGGUAAUUUGUUAGACAGCGAUAGAUAACGAAGACAAUACAUUAACAAUUCUUAAGAUACCCAGUGGAUAGUAAACCUUCAAUAGAUAUUGACUGUCUUUAUUAUUAAUAUCUCAGUUUCACAGAUGAGACAAAUGAGGCUCAGAGUGACUUCCCAGAGUUCGACAGUUAAUAUGCAGUAGAGUAGGGGCUCUGCCUUUGUUCUAUCUGACUUCAAAGUCAGUGCUCUCAAAGCAUCACUAUUUGGAAGACUCAGCUCCUUGAGGUGCCUAAGCAGGAUUUGUAGAAAAACAGAGGGCAGAUUUCCAUGGGCUGCCUUAGAUAGGUGAAUGACCCCUUAAGGCUGUAGAGGGCCAGGCCUAGGGCUGGGGAGAGCCAUGGCCAGCUCUUCAGGGAGUCUACAUGGGUAGGAGGACUAGCUCCUGCACCCAAACUUCACUAGGGGCUAGGUCUUCCAGCACAUGGGAGAACCAACGCAUGGCUGAGUCUGCUCCUAGAGUUUGUAAGAUGCUGUGUACUGAGAAAUGGAGCUCUGGUCUCUCCUCGCCCUCUGCUAUAGUUUCAAUGUGUUCCCCAAAAAGCAUGUGUUGGAAACUUAAUCCCCAAUGCAACAGUGUUGGGAAGUAGGGCCUAAUGGGAGGUGUUUAGGGCAUGAGGUCUCUGUCCUCAUGAAUGGAUUAAUGCCGAUUAUAAAAGGUCUUGAGCAUGUGAGUUCAUUCUCUUGCUCUCUCACAAUGCUGUCUUGCCCUUCCACCGUGAGCCAUGGGAUGAUGUAGGAAUCAUCCCAUGAUUGGUGGCACCUUCAUAUUAGACUAUGUUGGACUUCGCAGCCUCCAGAACUGUGAUAAACAAAUACCUUAUAAGUUACGACACCUCUGAUAUUGUGUUAUAGCAACACAAAACAGACUGAGACUCUUUCUCUCAUUCCCUCUGGGAGCUCAUGAACUAGGAGCCUGAGAUAAGCCCCAUUCAGAGGAGUCUCAUCUGAGCAAAGGCCGUUUUCGUUGCUAUCCUAUCAUGCUAUAGACAGCAAUGAUGAAUCAACUUAGCUGAUCGGAGGGCAGUCAGCACCAUCAGAAACAACAUGUCCUCUUAGCACAGUAACUGCUGGGAACAUCUACAAGAUUCCUCAGGGUGUAUGGGCAACAGACACAGGGAGCGUGCAGAGAGGCAGGUGGCACAGCCCCUGAUAUCUGCGGUGGUGAGACGCACAAUGGGAGCAGAUUCAAGCUUCACCACACAGACACUCAAAGAAUCAACGGAUACACGGAGACACCCAGGCACCUGCAUUAAUACCCAUAUACUCCCAGACACAUGGCCACACUCAUAGACACACCUACAGAAUGACACACUCAGACAUUCAGUGUGAAAGACACAAAUGCUCAGAUAAAUGCCCAGGUGGUAGGGAGGAACAUUAAAAUCCCACAACUCAUGUUUCCAGGGAGGGGAAGUCUUUUCCAUUGCACCAUGCAGGAGGGAAAAGUAUUGAAGGAACACUUCUUGCCCUUGUCCAUCCCCUCACCCAUUUCUCCCCAGAGGAGAGUUGGUGAGUUUGGGGGAGGAACAGAGCAUGCUCAGUCUAGUCUCCCCUAGGGCUUCUCUGUCUUUUACCCUGCCUGCCUGCAGAGGGGAAACAACAUUCUCAUCAGUCCUCUGGUACUGGGUGGCCUCUCAGGGUCGGCUUGGCCCCUCUGGGGAGUUGCCUGGUGUGACCAGUGCCGAUGGACACGUCUAUCUAAUUCAUUGGGGAAGAAUUUGCAGACCCUUUGGCUACAUAUCCAAAGCCACAUUCUUUACUUGACUGUACCCAGUAAUAGAGCUGACAUUCUGAUCUUCACCUCUAUCUCUGAGGCCUUAUUUCUCAGUUGGUGUCAAACUUGCGAUUCCCCGGUUCCAACACCAAAUAUUCCCACUUAGAGGAAAAACAGAAACAUGGACAAAUGUUCAAAGACACAGCAGAGAAACAUAGAUGAGAUGGUACAUUUGCUCUCCUGAGUGGAGGGAGGAUGGUUAGAAGAGCAGUUCAUGAGUCUGGCUGGGUGUUAGAAUCACCUGGGAAGAAUUACAAAUAGGUACUCAUGUCUGGGUCCUACUCCAGACAAACUGAUUCAGAAUCUACUGGGUCAGGGCCUGGGCAGUGGUCAAUUUUAAAGCUCCCCAGGUGAUUCUAACAGGCAGCUUCCCCACUCCCCAGCACUCCAUGAGGAGCAAAAGAGUGUUGGUGACUGGGGGCCUAACCCAUCGGUCACAGACCUCCCUCAGACGUCACUUGCUUCCAGCUAUAGCUCCAAAUUUCUCUCCUAUGGACAUUCUGGGGAUUCUGGUAGCAGCUGAGGGCUGUGCACUAAGCAGGCAAUUGCCUUUGGCUGCUGCUCUUCUGACUCUUCUAACUCUUCUGGUGGACCAUGGGGGCUGUCUCACCACUCUUCAAGCAGAAGUCCCUCACUCCUGCCUUGGAUCCCCAACACGUACGGAUGCUUAGGUCGACAUGGUAUUUUUCCUCUUGCUUUCAGUCUAGCUUCCUGUUGCAUCUCUGCUUGGUUGGCCCCUGGCAGAGCAGGUGCACAGGACACCGAGUGGAGAACUGGCCCCAGUGACAGUGGCUCGGCACAUGCUCUUCAUCCCAUAGCCAAAGGCACUUUCUUUGUGAUGCAUGGAGGCCAAACUCUUCUGCCAGCAACAGAGAAGCAAGGCCAGGCUGAUGGCUGCAAAAUGAGAGCGUGGUGUAAAGAUGGGAGCAGAGGUGGCGUGUACCCAUCCAGUGGCCUUGAUGCUUCUGUGAAUAUGGAG